GUGGAUAACCUGCCGUAUACCGGGGGAUAACACUUAGAAAUAGGUGCUAAUACCGCAUAAGCGCACGGCUCCGCAUGGGGCAGUGUGAAAAACUCCGGUGGUAUACGAUGGAUCCGCGUCUGAUUAGCUAGUUGGCGGGGUAACGGCCCACCAAGGCAGCGAUCAGUAGCCGGCCUGAGAGGGUGGACGGCCACAUUGGGACUGAGACACGGCCCAAACUCCUACGGGAGGCAGCAGUGGGGAAUAUUGCACAAUGGGGGAAACCCUGAUGCAGCGACGCCGCGUGAGUGAAGAAGUAUCUCGGUACGUAAAGCUCUAUCAGCAGGGAAGAAAAUGACGGUACCUGACUAAGAAGCCCCGGCUAACUACGUGCCAGCAGCCGCGGUAAUACGUAGGGGGCAAGCGUUAUCCGGAUUUACUGGGUGUAAAGGGAGCGUAGACGGCAGCACAAGUCGGGAGUGAAAUCCCGGGGCUUAACCCCGGAACUGCUUUGGAGACUGUGCGGCUGGAGUGCAGGAGGGGUAAGCGGAAUUCCUAGUGUAGCGGUGAAAUGCGUAGAUAUUAGGAGGAACACCGGUGGCGAAGGCGGCUUACUGGACUGUAACUGACGUUGAGGCUCGAAAGCGUGGGGAGCAAACAGGAUUAGAUACCCUGGUAGUCCACGCCGUAAACGAUGAUUACUAGGUGUCGGGGGAUCAAGGUCCUCCGGUGCCGGCGCAAACGCAUUAAGUAAUCCACCUGGGGAGUACGUUCGCAAGAAUGAAACUCAAAGGAGUUGACGGGGACCCGCACAAGCGGUGGAGCAUGUGGUU
rnacentral:rRNA from 1 species